rnacentral:rRNA from 1 species
UGCCAGCAGCCGCGGUAAUACGGAGGGUGCGAGCGUUAAUCGGAAUUACUGGGCGUAAAGCGCGCGUAGGCGGCUUUGUAAGUCGGAUGUGAAAUCCCCGGGCUUAACCUGGGAACUGCAUUCGAUACUGCAGAACUAGAGUAUGGUAGAGGGAAGUGGAAUUUCCGGUGUAGCGGCGAAAUGCGUAGAUAUCGGAAGGAACACCAGCGGCGAAGGCGGCGCUCUGGGGCAAUAUUGACGCUGAGGUGCGAAAGCGUGGGUAGCAAACAGGAUUAGAUA